rnacentral:lncRNA from 1 species
UCUGGUUUCAGCCUGGAUGACCCCAAUACUUUUGGCAACAGGAUCCACCGCAUGCUGAAAUUAGGUCUCAGCAUCGAUGAGGAUGAAAAGGUUGAAGACACUGACAUGCCUACGCUUGAGGAUGCUGCUGAUGCCGAAGAGAGUAAGAUGGAGGAAGUGGACUAAUCUGGAUUAAGCUUUGCUUUCUGUAUUCUGCUGCUUCUCUUGCAAUUUUUUGGUGUGCUUUUCAGAUAUGCACUAACUAUGUAGAUGGCCUUCAUCGCCUUUUGCCAAAGAGAUCUUUACAAGUUUUGUUUAUGCAUGCAUGGAUAACUCAUGUUGUAUGUUAACAAGUCAUAUGGUUUGAAUGUCGAUUUAGCAUGGUUGAUAUUUCCUUUUUAUAGCCGUGUCUUGUGGCACGAAGCUGCAUGAAAACAGAAUCAUGUCUAAGUUUGUCUUGAUAGUAAAUGCCAUGUUCCAGAGUAAGAUUUUGCUUUCAUUCAUUCGAGUUCGAUCGAUCAUGGAGCAUUUGGUUAUCGAAGUUCUAGAUGUUUUGCUUUAAUCAUUAGCUACGCUAUGGAAGUCAUAUGUGAAUUGUGAUGAUAUAAAUGAGAAGCUGCUGAAGAAUGACUGCCAAAUUCAACUUUACGGACAAAAGAGACAGACAUACUGAUAAUAGAUUCGGAGGAACAGAAUCUAUACUAUGUGAACAUACUGACUACGGGUGUCUUCGUUUUGUCACCCAUUGUUCUUAUUGAAGCAGAAAACAAAGAGCAGGUGGUUGCGUGGUGAAUCAAUCAGCUGCAAGCCUGCGGCACAAAUCCAAUCCUCUCGUUUCCUAGAUCAUAGACCACUUCAAACGUUUGCUGCUGCACGUUGCCAAUGAUUCCGAAGCUACCGCCCUGAUAUCCAGCAAAAGCCAAGCAGCCAUGCCUGAGGAUCCCAGAUGUGUCGAGAUCCAGUGUGACUCCAUCGAAGUGCAGCGCUACUUUGGGGACUGAUAUGGUCUCGUAGCCGCUGAAGUCAUAACAGGUAUCGAGUACUCGCGUAGGAGGCGCAGCAGGGUACUGGGACAUGUAGCUCCGGAACGCAGACCUCAGGGCUCCGUAGGCCGACGCCGGGAGGCGAGUGAUGGUAGUGCCGGAGUCGAUGAUCGUGCCACGGGACGAGAAAACCGAUGGCGAAAUGGCCAGUUGCUGCCCACCGACGCUGAUUCCGAUCAGGUCAACGAAGUAAAAGCUUGGAUGAUUGGAGCUGGUCUGCAUUCGAGUGUAAACGGUGUUGGAGGCAUCACCAGGUUCGCCCAGUUUCAGGAACCCGGUGGAGCUGGGAGUCGAAGGAAGGCAGUAGGAGAAGACCGAGUGGUAAACUUGCGACGUUUGGGACACCAGAGAGCGCUUGCCGCGGCCGAGACCCACGAGCCCUGCGGUGUCUUGGAACAGCCCUUCGUUGUCGGUGCCGCACCCGAAGAGGAAGUCCUCGAUCACGUCGUUUGGCGACAGCGUCAGUCUGUCGUAGCUGUAGACUCCUGAAGUGGUCGACCCAUCGCCGUAGGUGAUGCCAUAAGCGCAAGAGCUGGAGCAGCUGCUUCGGAGCUGACUGCAGUCCUGCGAGUUGCAAGGGAUCGCGGUGUAGGAGGAUGAUUGGGAUGGGUCAAAGAUCGGCUCCUGCUGCGAGUAGCACGCGGAGCAUGGUUUGCAUUGGAUCCAACUCAGGUCGCUCCCGGUGUCCAUCGUCACAGUCUGCUCUCGGCUGGGGGUGCCAUAGCCGACUGUGAUCACGUACUCCCCUCCUCCGUACUCCGCGGGGAUGCUUGCCUUGGAAUCAUCGACCUGUGGCUUGGCGGAAGACUUCAAGGCACUUCGCCGGAGAUAGUUGACUCUAAGUUGGUCUUUCAGAAGAAUCUCUUCUAGCGAUAGCAGUUUCUUGUCGUCGAAGGGGGAGCAGGGUCCAUGCCGAUGCACCAACGGGAAGGCGGUGAAGUUAGAUCCUGAGAAAGGCGAAACUAUCUUUUAAGGAAACUGUAUCAAAUGGUUUCAGCAAUUCAUGGGUAGCGGAGUAUGAGAUCUGCAGCCCAAAGAAAAGAUUGAUGCAAGAGAGCAACUGAGGUAUGACUGACCCUUGGACGAGGAGCAGACAACUUCGGGACUAGAAUUAUGAUUUCGAACCACGUGGUAGCUCUGAGCGUCUUCUCCGUUAGCAAGGGAAGAACAGUGACUCAGGAACAGAACAGAAGAGCAGAUUAAGAGAGCAGCCGAAGCCAUUUGCUGGGAAGAGACAAGCCCUGGGCGAAGGAUUGCAAUGGCAAUGCAUCCAAUUUAUAGAGACUUCAAAACCACUUUCUUUGUUCCACCAGAUUGGCCUCUGAUUUGAGUCAAGUAUGUCGACUAGUCGUUGACUUCAUAUUGACUGGCAUCGUCAAGUUCUUCCACACAAUCACGGAGCAAUUUAGGCUUAGUUUCGCAUUCCCACUGCAAAAUCCACGAAAUAAUUUGGUUUACGUCACAACGAUGAGAUCUAAAGGAAGACUUCGAACAGUUCAAAGUCGAAUAAUUAGAGCCACAACUCGAGUGCAAGACCGGAGAGAAGACUUUCAACAGUUCAACAUCUUGGUGUGAUUUCUUCACCGACCAAUCCUGACCGGCUCAUAAAUCGUCAACUAAUAACAACAACAACUAAAUGCUUCCUUAUGGCUGUUCUACGAGUCACCCAGGCGAGUGGAUCGGGAGCUAUUCGAGAGGGAAUUACACGGUAUACUUCCAUGUCCGCACGAACCAAAGUGCGCAAGAACAUGGACUCGUACUUCUGAAACCUGCAAUGAUAGAUCGAUAGCUCCGAUACUGUAUGUGAUGAACGGAUUGCACUAUGAGAAUAACUUCAGCUGGUCUGGUGUUGAAUCAAUGGUUGACAGCAGCAGAGGCUAAUCAAAAGAAGAAGACGAAGAGGAGGUACAGGCAGGGUAGGUGGCCGUGAAAGAGACACACUCCCAAAUGAUUGCGAAGGACAAGCUACUCCAAGUGACAUUAAAGAACUCGGCAACCAUGGCGUUUUCCAAUUAAUCAUGGACCAAUUUAGCUUUAUUUGGAGAGUAAAAUAGGAUGGAAAGUUAUCAGACUUGUAGAUCUUUAUGCAGACUAGAUGAGUUUAUUAUUAGUAACAUAUAUUUUCUACUCAUAUUAAGAUCUAUCAAAGUUGCAGAUGAUGUGAUUUAUAAGGAAAACAAUAUCACAACAGUUAUCCCUUUUAUUAAAAUUAUCACAAGUACAAGUUUGAAUUAUGAAUUAGACAUGAAUUUGCUAUUAGAUUUAAGCUUCCCAUACAUUUUCUGUUAUUUUUUUUUUAUCAAAUAUACUUUUCCUAUGAUUAAGAAUAAUCUACAGUAAAUUAAAUUAAAUGUGCCUCGAACAUCUAAUUAUAGAAUUAUAGCACGUCAGUCACAUCCCCUAGCUUUUCUCCAUCGUCUUCCUCCUUUCGAUGUGAUGACUAAAUAGGCAAUCGUUCAUUACACAAUAAAUUGUGGGUUGGAUUCGUCGUGGAAGGACCCUCGUGAUUUUUUAUUAUAUACGAAGAAAAAUACUGUUAGAUUAAUUAAUCUGAGCUCUAACUUAUACUUCCAAAACAUAAUUCCAAACACAUAAUUAACGAAGAAAAGAGACACACGUACAGAAGAAAAGGGAGGUGGAUGCUGAAAUAGAACGAUAGACAAUUCUGGUGAAGGUAAUAGAGGUUGACUGCCAGCUGCAGGUGCAUGCUAUAUAUCCUUAUUCCUCAUGCUAUUGAUUUAUUUAUAUUUAUAUAUAUGCAUGAGGUGAUACUGAUCAGCUGCAAGCGUGCGGCGCGAAUCCAAUUCUCUCAUUUCCUACAUCGUAGACUACUUCAAAUGUUCGCUGCUGCACAUUGCCAAUGAUCCCCAAGCGAUCAACUUGCUUACCAGAAAAUGCCAAGCAGUCAUGCCUGAGGAUCCCAGAUACGUUGAGAUCCAGUGUGACUCCAUCGAAGUGCAGCGCUACUUUGGGGACUGUUAUGGUCUUGUAGCCACUGAAGUCAUAACAGGUAUCAAGCAGUCCGUUAGUAGGCUUAAGAGGGUACGCCGACAUGUGCUCCCGGAACGCCGACCUCAGGGCCUCGUAGGCCGACGGCGGGAGGCGAGUGAUCGUAGUGCCGGAGUCCAAUAUCGUGCCACCGGACCUAAAAACCGAUGGCGAAAUGGCGAGCUGCUCCCCGGCCACGCUGAUUCCGAUCAGGUCAACGAAGUAAAAGCUUGGAUACUUGGAGCUGGUCUGCAUUCGAGUGUAAACGGUGUUGGAGGCGUCACUAGGUUCGCCCAGUUUUAGGAACCCCAUGUUGCUGGAAGUCGAAGGAAGGCAGUAGGAGAAGACCGAGUGGUAAAGUUGCGACGUCUGAGACACAAGCGACUGCUUGCCACGGCCGAGACCCACGAGCCCUGCGGCGUCGUGGAACAGCCCUUCGUUGUCGGUGCCGCACCCGAAGAGGAAGUGCUCGAUCACGUCGUUUGGCGACAGCGUCAGUCUGUCGUAGCUGUAGACUCCUGAACUGUUCGACCCAUCGCCGUAGGGGAUGAAAUAAGCGCAAGAGCUGGAGCAGCUGCCUCGGGGCUGACUGCAUUCCGACGAGUUGCAAGGGAUCGCGGCGUAGGAGGAUGAUUGGGAUGGGUCAAAGAUCGGCUCCUGCUGCGAGUAGCAUUUGUUGCAUGGUUUGCAUUGGAUCCAACUCAGGUCGCUCCCGGUGUCCAUCGUCACAGUCUGCUCUCGGCUGGGGGUGCCAUAGCCGACGGUGAUCACGUACUCCCCUCCUCCGAACUCCGCGGGGAUGCUUGCCAAGGAAUCAUUGAGCUGUGACUUCACGACACCCUUUAGGAGAUAAUUUACUCGAAGUUGGUCUUUAAGAAGGAUUUGUUCAGGUGAUGGCAGUUCCUUUGUCUCGAAGGGGGAGCAGGGUCCAUAUCGACUGACCAACCGUAUAGAGGUAACGUUGGAUCCUGAGAACCAUGCAUGCAUGCAUGGAAGUAUAUAUCACCACCAAUAGUCAGUAUUAAUUUUUUGUCUUUUAAGUAAUUUUACGUCAAACAAGUGCAGCAAUUUAUAAGUACAACUUCCAUCUGCUUGCUCGGUAACAUCGUGCUUCCAAUUUACAGCUUAAAGAGAUAGAGAAGGAAGUCUUAGUUAAAACUACAGAUGAUACUUUAUAACAGCAGCGCAAAUAAAACACCAAAAGUAAGAGGCAGCCGAUGUAUGAUUAACCUUUGAGCGGGGAGCAGACUGCUCCGGGAUUCAAAGAACGUCUUUGAACCUUAUGGUAGCUCUGUACUUCUCCAUUGGCAAGGUGAGAACGGUAGCUUAGGAGCAGAAACAGAACACAAGAGCUGGUUAGGAGGGCAGCUGAAGCCAUUAGUUAGCUGGGGAGAUACAAGUCUUGUGCGUAGGAGCUCUGGCUAUGCAUCCAAUUUAUAGAGAACCUUCAAUGCUACCUUCUCUCCUUGAAUCUUCAAAGCGAUGCUUUUGGUUUGGCCUCUGAUUACCACAUGCGAAAUUGAUUUAGAAGGCUGUGGACUAGUCGUUGACGUAGGACCCACUGGCUUAGUCAAGGUCAGAUUGUCCGAUCUUCGCGGAGUCACAUAAAUUUUAUCUCGUAUCCCCGUCGACGUGUGGAAGAUCCAUGGAAAUGAUAAGAUCUCCAGUCAGCUACCAGUCCGAAGCGAUGACUUGCAACGAUCCAAGGUCUUCACGUGGUGAUUUCUUCGGUUACCAGGUCCGAUGUAUCUGCCAGUAAUUAAUUCGUGGACUCAUGGCAUCCGACUGGAGUUAAUUGACAGCAAUCAUAUGGCAUGAUUCGACGUCCACAGGAUCAUUUUCCACUGUGGCUCAUGCGGAACCAGAUUGCAAAGAACAUGUCAUACCUCAGAGCUACUUCGGUCCUCCAACUACUAUGAGAAGAACUUUAGCUGGUUCACUGAUAUGAUAAGUUCUAGGCGCUGAAACAGUUGUGGGCUUAAGGAACCGACACAGGCGAUGUGAUAUUGCUGCACUUCUCUUGUUGGCCAUGUCGGAGGGUAAGGAAAAGAAGAAGAUGAGGAGGAGGAGGAGGAGGAGGAAGCAGGGUAAGACAGGGACGGCGAGGUGGCGAUUUACGAGACAGUCAAGAACUGGAUGAUUGCACCGGACAAAGUACGUCUAUAUCAUAACAGCUAAGAAACAAUGACAUGCGUUCUCGGAUUAAUUAUGGACCAUAUUAUUGAGCAAUAUCUUCUUUUGUUUCGUUUAUCAUCUUUUGCGCUUGACUAUAUCUGUGCAUUACUGAUAGCAAAUGGCCGAAAGCUGCCUGUAUUUAUAUUUCUUUCUUUUUUCGCGUUAGAUAAGGCUCAGGUACAGAAGCUAUGAAGACAAAGGGAAGGAAAAGACUGGUCACAACAAUUCGGUAAUGUAAUGUUUUUGAUAAGAAUACAAGCGAAUAGAUAUGUGUUACGUAUCGGAUUAAGCGUAUCAAAUCGAAUGAUAGAAAUCAAUAAUUUAGUUCAAACCAGCAUCAGACUGUAUAAAAAAAAAAAAGUAAUUUUUUUGAAAAAAAUUCUUCUUUUUUUUUCUGAAAAGGGAUCUCUGUUUUACUUUUUCACAAAAUGAGACUCCCUAAUUCAAAUAAUACUCAAAAUACUCACCGUCAUUGCUAAUGGUAUUUUUCUCAUCAAAUUUGUUUUGUCUAUUUUUUUAUUAGUUUCGAAUCAUUAUAGUGUUUUUAUUUGGCUCAUUUAUAAUAUUUUUCAAUAGCAUUACGGUAUUGUGAUGGUGGCAAUAAUUUUUACCCAUAUUUAGAUGAUGUUGUUAUUCAUAAAUUAUUAUUAUAGUACCUAUUUGAAUUCUAAUAUGAUAUAUUAAAUAAUUUUUAGUAUAUUUUGAUUUUAUUUGACUUGCUUAUAGUAUUUUUUUUACAACAUUAUAGGUUUUAUUAUGAUAUUAAGGAUAUUAUAAAGCUAUUGAAAAAUAUUGUAAGUAACUUCGUAUUAUGUCUCUUUGCUUAUCGUUGCUCAUAGAUUAUUACACUACCAAAUCAUGGAUGCUGAACACAUGCAUAUUUGGAGGUUUUCGAUACGCUGACGAACGAGAAAGAGCAAGGAAGAGGAGGAGGUGGUGGAGGCAACGGCGGCAGGAAAAGCAAGCAAGAGAAGCCAUUACGCUUGCAGAACUCGGUGAUCUGAGCUUGGAACGAGUGAAGGGAGUAGCUCUAAAUAGCUGUGCCUCUGCGCGUUCAAGUUUCAACGGGUGGUACAUCGCUUUCUCCCACUUGUCUUCCUCCUGUGGCCACUCGAGUCCUCUGUGGCGAUUACGUCAUGCGUCAUUGCGCAACAAAUAACGGGUUGGGUCAAGGAAGAGACCCUCGUGAUUCUUUAUGAGAUCCAAUCCACUCACGAGCAGAAAAGGAGGUGUGAUCACAUGCUGGAAGGCACUAAGAAUUAAGCCCGUAUAAUUGACUCCUGACUUGUUGUCAGACACUCUCGAGUCCCGUGGGAAGACCAUCCAAGAAGAGGCCUCAGCUUUGAAUUGGAAUCUUCUUUCUAACUUAGGCCGUGAAGCAAUGGCGACCAACCUUUGAGUUAUUCCAUAGACUAACAACUUUGUGGCUAUUUGUUUAGUAUUGGAUUAAUGGACUGAACUCAAUCGUUCCUCGCCCAAAAGAACCAUUGGCUAAUGUUACUUGAUAUGAAGGAUCCAAAGCAACCACCAAGAAAAGAAUGUCGAAAGAAGAACCACAAAGCAUUUGAGAACAAUCAUGAUCUCAAGGUGGCCUAUCACUUUCUUCUUCCUUCUUUCCUGCUAUUUCUUCUGAUAUAAUCAUGUGGAAAGACAUAAUAUAAUCCAUCUCUAAGCAGUGUGGCUCCCUGUGGAAAGACAUAAUCUAAUCCAUCUCUAAGCAGUGUGGCUCCCUGCGACAGGCUCUCUUACGUUCAUGCGUUUCUGGCUGACAUAAGUCUACGGAGACAUGAUGUUGCAGAGGUUGCAUAAUCCACCGCACCUCUCCAACAUUUCACAUGGCAAGCCCCGUUCCGUUUGUCAUGUCCUUGCUAAGCUUUUGGAAUGUUGCAGAAAACGAGCCAUGGGGUUCGUGCAAUGCUUCUCAAAUUGGAACAGUGGUGAGAAAUCUGCGGUGGCUCAGUCACUGUCGGUCGAUAGACCAUGAAAUGUUUGAAGGACUCGUAAUUCUUCCUGCAUGUGUUUAAUUUCUCCUCGGGAUAAGCCAAGCACUUGAAAAACCAUCUCCAAUGCAUAAGCUAGAUUAAGCAUCUCAUGUGGAGAUCAGGAUACCUGCAGUUUAAGGAGUGCUAAUAUCACAGACUAUACAAAUCACCCAGCUUGUGUACUAGACAUUGUCUUUCUUCUCCGAUGAGUGGUCAGACUUCCACUUCAAGUGUUGGAAGAUGUAGCCAGGGCACUUGCAAAUAACAAGUCGGGUGGUUCUUGAUGUGGAUGGUUGGAGAUGGCAUUCUCGAGGGUUGUCGAAGGAUGCAAUUUGCAUUUCGACAUGGAACAGUGAAGAUAAUGUGCUUCCUCUGGUUCAGUGGUGCCAGUGCCUCAGCUACUAGCUUUGUUGCUUGCUCAUGCCAAGAUAAGUGGGAGGAGUAGAAAAUUAGAACCAUUCAACAAAGGAGAUGAUUCUUGCAACACCACAUUUGAAGCAUGGUCAUCAUGCAUCAACCUGUGUAGUAGGUGGUGUUCUAACAUUUGCACCCCAAAAAGAAGGGUUUGACCAAUGUGCAUUGGCUGUUGCUUCAACCUCUGUUCAGAAGCAGAAAGUGUUGUGCUAGCCAUCAUUAUUAAAGAUUAUGGAUGGUAGCAUCAACCCUUUUUUGUCAGUUACAGAGAUGACUGAAUCACUAAUGCUCAGAGACUCCAGCAUGGCUGGCCAUAUGUCCAGCAAGAAAACUAUGGAGAUCAACCCAGAGAAUCCUAUCAUGGAGGAGUUGAGGAAGCGAGCAGAUGCUGACAAGAAUGACAAAUCAGUUAAGGACCUGACACUUCUGCUGUUUGAGACUGCUCUCCUCACCUCUGGUUUCUGCUUGAAUGACCCCAAUACUAUUGGCAACAGGAUCCACCGAAUGCUGAAAUUAGGUCUCAGCAUCGAUGAGGAUGAAAAGGUUGAAGACACUGACAUGCCUACGCUUGAGGAUGCUGCUGAUGCCGAAGAGAGUAAGAUGGAGGAAAUGGACUAAUCUGGAUCAAGUUGGCUUUCUGUAUUCUGCUGCUUCUCUUGCAAUUUUUUGGUGUGCUUUUCAUAUAUGCACUAACUAUGUAGACGGCCUUCAUCACCUUUUGCCAAAGAGAUCUUUAUAACUGUUGUCUAUGCAUGCAUGGAUAAUUCAUGUUCUAUGUUAACAAGUCUAUGGUUUGAAUGUCGAUUUAGCAUGGUUGACAUUUCAUUUUUAUAGUCCUGUCUUGUGGCAAGAAGCUGCAUGAAAACAGAAUCAUGUCUAAGUUUGUCUUGAUAGUAAAUGCCAUGUUCCAGAGUAAGAUUUUGCUUUCAUUAAUUCGAGUUCGAUCGAUCAUGGAGCAUUUGGUUAUCGGAGUUCUAGAUGUUUUG